AGCAGCCGCGGUAAUUCCAGCUCCAAUAGCGUAUAUUAAAGUUGUUGCAGUUAAAAAGCUCGUAGUUGAAUUUCGGGGUCAGUAGGUCGGUCGUGCCACUGGUAUGAACUGGUUUUACUGAUUCCUCCCUCUUGAAGAACUGUAAUGCCAUUAAUUUGGUGUUGCAGGGAAUCAGGACUGUUACUUUGAAAAAAUUAGAGUGUUUAAAGCAGGCUUUAGCUUGAAUACAUUAGCAUGGAAUAAUGAAAUAGGACGUUUGAUCCUAUUUUGUUGGUUUCUAGGAUUGACGUAAUGAUUAAUAGGGAUAGUUGGGGGCAUUAGUAUUCAAUUGUCAGAGGUGAAAUUCUUGGAUUUAUUGAAGACUAACUACUGCGAAAGCAUUUGCCAAGGAUGUUUUCAUUAAUCAAGAACGAAAGUUAGGGGAUCGAAGACGAUCAGAUACCGUCGUAGUCUUAACCAUAAACUAUGCCGACUAGGGAUCGGAUGAUGUUAAUUUUUAAUGUACUCAUUCGGCGCCUUA
rnacentral:rRNA from 1 species